rnacentral:rRNA from 1 species
CCCUUAGAUGUUCUGGGCCGCACGCGCGCUACACUGAUGCAUUCAACGAGUCUAAAACCUGCUCUGAUAGGGGUGGGUAAUCUUUUGAAUGUGCAUCGUGAUUGGGAUAGAUGAUUGCAAUUUUUCAUCUUCAACGAGGAAUGCCUAGUAAACGCAAGUCAUCAGCUUGCAUUGAUUACGUCCCUGCCCUUUGUACACAUCGCCCGUCGCUCCUACCGAUUGAAUGAUCCGAUGAAUAUCAUAGACUGAGAGUAUAAGCAGGUUCGCCUGUCUUUGCUUCUCGGGAAGUGAAGUAAAUCUUAUCAUUUAGAGGAAGGAGAAGUCGUAACA